CUCGAGACAGCAGGAUGCUCAACCAGCAGGUGAAGAAGGACGUGUUUGCUUCCCUUUCUGCCAUGAAUGUUUCCUGAGGCCUCUCCAGCCCUGUGGAAAUCUGCCUAAAAGCCAUGAAUCUGAACCAAGUCCUGGAAUGUGAAGUCUGACAACCACAAAAAAACUAUAUCCUCGGAGCUUGCUUGCCACUCUUCGCGGCCAUGGGAAGAAGCCCUCUUAUCACCUCUACUUUUUAUAAUUCGUGCAAGUGCUUCUCAUUACCAAUACCUCACUUAGGUUACUUUUAGCUUCAGAGGAUCUGAGAAAUGCCAUUUUAAAAAUACACUUGCCCUGUUGUAACAGAGAAUUUAAAAGGAAAAAGGAAGAAAUGUCAUAAACAAUAAACCGUUUUACAGAUAAAAAAAUUUAUCUCUACC
rnacentral:lncRNA from 10 species